rnacentral:rRNA from 1 species
UACGGGGGGGGCAAGCGUUGUUCGGAAUUACUGGGCGUAAAGGGCUCGUAGGCGGCCAACUAAGUCAGACGUGAAAUCCCUCGGCUUAACCGGGGAACUGCAUCUGAUACUGGAUGGCUUGAGUUCGGGAGAGGGAUGCGGAAUUCCAGGUGUAGCGGUGAAAUGCGUAGAUAUCUGGAGGAACACCGGUGGCGAAGGCGACGUCCUGGACCGGCAUUGACGCUGAGGCGCGAAAGCCAGGGGAGCAAAGCGGG